rnacentral:misc_RNA from 1 species
UUGGGAAAAAAAAAUCAGGCGAGUAAGCAACCUUAUAAAUAUCAUAAAGCAAUGCCAUGUCAAAAUACCAUCAAGCCUAUAAGAAAUAAGAAACACAGAGGCAAAAGAAACAACGCAAAACAGACAAAAAGCACAACUCGAUCAACAAGCUCAAAUGAACAUGUGAAAUUAAUGAACCACCAUGUAGCUGCGCUGCGGCACCUUCUUAAAGGUGGUCCAGAUAAGAUCAAAAUACAGCGGAAACUGCGCUAUGGCAAACAAAGUCACUGGAAAGCACGUCACUGCGUAAAUCGGCAUUGCUGCGUACUUCAGUUGAUCUCUAAGCACAAAGAAAUGUCCCGAACAAAAGGACACCAAAACGGCAGCAAUUGACACGAACAACGAUGAUAAACCCAGCAGAAGCUUCCUCGGCAAAUCUUUCCCAAAAUCCUUCUCUUGGUAUCGAGAAGUCAGUAUUGACAGAAACAUGACCACGGCAGUUAUUGAGAAGCAGAGAGCCACGAGAGAGGAGAUAGCAAAGGCGUUGAAUGCGGGGUGACUUUCCAGGGUUGGCGCGCCGCUAUUCUCAUUGACGCCGCCUGGGACGGCGGUUGAUGUUGCGAAGGCGACUGUGGCGAUGAGUGCGGCUACUACGGAGCAUGAUUCGGAGGUGUUAGUUAGCCAUUCGCCCCCGCUUUUGACGAGUUCGCUGUGCGUUUCGGUGAAUAUGUCUCUUGAGGUCUUGUUAUCCUUGUUGUAGCGUGGGAAAAAGUGGGGUGGCAUGGAUUUCUUAACAUACUCAUACCACUUGAUCUCCCAUUGCAUCUGUAAAGCAGAGCCUGGAAUGAGCCAAGGCUUGUAGGCUCCAAGCGUGGCAGCCAGGUGCAGUGCGCUGUUUCCUUUAUCGUCCACUCUGCGAAAGAUGCUGUCUCUCAUCACUUUUCUCUUCAGCAAGAGCUGGUAUACGUGUGGUUGUCUGUUUUCCACCGCCAAUAGCACUACAUUCUUCCUCUCCGGGUUCAUGUCAUGAAUAGCCACAGGAAAUUUUUCCAAGAUUUUCUCCACCAUUUCUGUGAUACCAUUUUUUGCUGCUAUUAGUAUUGCUGUCUCCUUCUCUACCAUUUCAGACUUCUUUGGCUUCUCUUCCUUCUUUUCUAAGUUCUCGUCUUUCUUUGGCGUCUCCUCCUUUCCUUUGGCAUCAUUUGGGGUGCUAUGGUCAUCAAUAGCCCACACAACCUCAUCACCUUCGUUGAAUGCAAAAGGUGCUUCAUCAGAACGGGAGGGAUCCUUUCCGGCAUAUUCAUACUCAUACAUCACAACACGUUCAAGAAGUUCGUCUAGGAUCUGAACAGACCAUGUAUGCUUCUCUUUUUUUUUCUCCAACUUUUUGAGCUCCGAUGAUCCUAAUCCUAGAAUGACUAACAUUGCCUUGGACAUAAACUUGAAGAGGUCAAAACAUGUAUCAUAAUUUGAAGGAAUAAAUCCACGUCUUCGUCCUCUAUUUCUUGGUUGGUUUCCUAACUCAUCUUGUUGAUUCUCUGCAUCUCCCAGCCGCAGGCGUUGUAAAUUUUUACAUUGAUUCAUUGUUGAAAGCAGAAAGUUGUAUCCCCAUUUGAUCGGAUACCGAAGGAAAUUUACGCAUGUUUCGUAGUUCUGUGGAUAAGUGGUUUUGUCAUUAAUGUUGGAUGCCUCAGCUACUGCUGGUUGAUUAAGCAUUUCCUGAUCCACCUUAAGCUCAUCAACAAAUAUACAGCGAUAUAUCAUCUUGCGAUAGCCUCCAAGGUGGGUACCGCUUCUAAAGGAGUCGGGUUUACUUGCUAAGAGAUGCAGAGGGGUCGCGCCUUUCUCGUUGACGCUGCUAGCAAGUUCUCCACACAAAUAAAUUAUUCGAAACGCUAAAUCAAAAUAUUCUCCAAUGAUGGCAGCAUGAAGAAUGGUGUCGCCGUCAAACCUCCUGUAAUAUGAACGACCUCGAUCAGGGCCACAAAUGAAAUGGAGGCAAAGGAAUGCCUCUUUUUUCCCAAACAUAGCUGCCCAGAAGAGUGGGGUCUCUCCUUCCUCAUUACGGGCACCCACCAAAGAUGCUUCUACAUUAGCAAUGCAUAAACAUAUCCGGACAUUCCCCAGGCUAGCCGCGAUAUGUAGAGCCGUAUUCUUUUUAUCAUUGGCGACUUUCAGAGCCUCCCUGGCAUCUUCUGGGUGCCUGCACAUUAGAGUUACUAGCUGUUCCACGAUAUCUUCUUGGCCAUCGCGGACUGCUAGGUGCAAUGCUGUGUCGCCUGACUUGGUGAUUUGUGCCCUGUAAGCCUUCGGGUUCCCUGCGUAGGUUGUAACCACUUUGGCCCAUUCACCUGUCAUUGCGGAUUUAAACAUGUGUCUCCUGAGGUCAGCCAUAUUAUCAUCCUCGUUCUUUGUCCCCAAGGGAGUACCCAUUUCUUCUCUUCUUCUUUCUUUCUACCACAAUCAAUAAUAACGGUAGAAUAACAAAGACUAUAUUAUGAAGGACUUGCGGUGAUUGAAAUGGAAAUAUUUG